GACUGGGGUGAAGUCGUAACAAGGUAACCGUAGGGGAACCUGCGGUUGGAUCACCUCCUUACCUUAAAGAAGCG
rnacentral:rRNA from 1 species